AAGGAACUUCAGAAGUUUUCCAGCGUGUUCCCCUCAGACCCACAGCCUCCAGAGCCUCCGCCAUCACCAUGUAAAUGCUAAUGAAUGACAAGUGCCACAGAGGACUUUCAUCUUACCAUUUGAUGAGGAAGUUGGCUCUGGACAUGGAACAAGGAUGAUUUCUGCCUUGCUUUGACACAAUUAAUGGAGGUCACUGAAAUCAUCUUUCCCACUAGGAAGACUGUCACGAGGUGAGAAAGAAAGAAGGUCCGCAAUCAACACCGAGUUCUGAGAAGUUGACUGGGAUGAUGUUCUACCCAGCUCUCAUCUAAAGGAGGAGAGUCCCCAAGCCAGAGGAAGCCGUCAGAGAGCUUCUCAGCUGAGAAGAUUCUACGAGGUCCCAAAGGUUAAGGAUGCCAGUUACAGAAGCUUAACAGAGCAAAAGGGGAAGGAUGUGUCACUUGGCCAUGUAGCUGACUGAGCUUAGGGAAUAAGAAAGUAAAUGCAAUGGAGGUGACCAAGGGGUGACAACGCUUCAUCAUCAAGAUGAAGACCAUACAGGGGACUGGGGGUCAGAGGGAAACGAGGAUAGGGAAGUAAGGAGUGUGCUCGGUUAGGAAAAUGUAGAUUAUUGAUGUACCCUUGAGAUGUUUAGACAGAGGUGGCCAAAGACAGCUGGAGGAUGGCCACUUAAUAUUAGAAUUCAGGGCUGCCACACCAUCCAGCUUCAGGAGUUACCUUUCCUCUUGUUUUCCAUGUGCCUGGUGCUUCUCAGAGUUCUCUAGUGUGG